UUCAGGAAGGGCUUUGGUGAAGACGUCAGCCAGUUGAUCAGUGGUUCUAACAAAAUGAAUUUCAACGUUCCCAUCUUCCACAUGAUCUUUAAUGAAGUGAUACCUCAGUGCUAUGUGCUUGGUCUUGGAGUGUUGCACUGGGUUAUGACAAAUCCUAAUUGCACUUUCAGAGUCACAAUAUAGUGGGAUCUUUUUCAUAUUGAGUUCAUAGUCCCGGAGUUGACUUUGGAUCCAAAUCACUUGAGAAGUGCAGGAGGCAGCUGCAAUGUAUUCUGCUUCAGCUGUAGACAAAGACACACAAGUUUGUUUCUUUGAUUGCCAGCUAACCAACUUCCCGUCGAGGAAUUGGCAGCCUCCCGUGGUGCUUUUCCUGUCUAGUCCACAACCUCCAAGGUCUGCAUCUGAGUAGGCUUGAACGAAGAAGCCUGAGUUGGAUGGAUACCAUAGGCCUAAAGAGGUCGUUCGCUUAAGAUAACGGAGUAUGUUCUUCACUGCAAGCAUAUGAGGUUCACGUGGAUUCGCCUGAAAUCUAGCACAGUAACAUACAGAGAACAUUAUAUCAGGCCUGCUAGCAGUAAGAUACAUCAGAGAACCGAUCAUCUGGCGAUAUAGCGUAAUAUCAACUGCUGGCUUAUCCAAGGAUG
rnacentral:lncRNA from 1 species